rnacentral:rRNA from 1 species
GAUGAACGCUGGCGGCGUGCUUAACACAUGCAAGUCGAACGAGAAGUGAAGACGGAAACCUUCGGGCGGAAGGCUUUAUUUCGAGUGGCGGACGGGUGAGUAACGCGUGGGUAACCUGCCUCAUACAGGGGGAUAACAGUUGGAAACGACUGUUAAUACCGCAUAAGACCACAGCACCGCAUGGUGCGGGGGUAAAAACUCCGGUGGUAUGAGAUGGACCCGCGUUCGAUUAGCCAGUUGGCGGGGUAACGGCCCACCAAAGCGACGAUCGAUAGCCGAUCUGAGAGGAUGACCGGCCACAUUGGGACUGAGACACGGCCCAAACUCCUACGGGAGGCAGCAGUGGGGAAUAUUGCACAAUGGGGGAAACCCUGAUGCAGCGACGCCGCGUGAGUGAAGAAGUAUUUCGGUAUGUAAAGCUCUAUCAGCAGGGAAGAAAAUGACGGUACCUGAGUAAGAAGCCCCGGCUAACUACG